UCAGGCGUUAUUAAUAUUCCCACAGAGGCUGGUUCGUAGCGGCCGCCGGGCUCAUGUCGGACCGGAUACCAGCACGGCACUCCUUGGCUAGAGCGUAGUAGAGAUCAAUCUGGAAAUGAAGAACUACAAACUGAAGUUCAGUAUACUCUGGGACAGGGACACCGACCACACAUACCAGAACUGGAUACCGAAGUAGAAGAGCCACCAUUAACCUCCAUCUAUACCAGAACUCAACCCCAUCCCCCAGACAGUAAUGCGACGGGGAGUGAAAACACUGUCUUGGGACGCCUCUGAAAAACUGCUCAUAUUUAUAUUUAACACUUGACAUUUCUUUACCCUUGCAUAAUUGCUAACUAUCACAACAUUAAGUAUUUAUCUGAAAAGGUGGUCAUGGCUCUACUGCUAUGAAUGAGAUAAACCACAAAUAUGGGUCUUAAUAUGCUAAUGAUCUUGUUCAUGAUAUUAACUUUACAAAUAUAUUAAAAAGCAAGCUGGUAUGUUGAGCCUAAAAUGUUCAAAUGCAAUAAACGGAGACAGACAUUC